AGAGCUGGAGAGAAGGCAAGAUGUUGGCAUAGCUGUUGAGUUAAGAACCUGCUAUGCCGACAUGUUGUCAUCUUUCUUG
rnacentral:pre_miRNA from 13 species